rnacentral:rRNA from 1 species
GACGAACGCUGGCGGCGUGCUUAACACAUGCAAGUCGAACGGAAAGGCCCUGCUUGCAGUGUUCUCGAGUGGCUAACGGGUGAGUAACUCGUGGGUGAUCUGCCCUGCACUUCGGGAUAAGCCUGGGUAACUGGGUCUAAUACCGGCUAGGUGCCAUUUUUUGUGUGAUGUUUUUAAUGUUUUUUCGGUGUAGGAUGAGCUCGCGGCCUAUCCGCUUUUUGGUGGGGUAAUGGCCUACCAAGGCGGCGACGGGUAGCCGGCAUGAGAGGGUGGACGGCCACAAUGGGACUGAGAUACGGACCAGACGCCUACGGGAGGCAGCAGUGGGGAAUAUUGCACAAUGAGGGCAAGCCAGAUGCAGAGACGCCGCGUGGGGGAUGACGGCCUUCGGGUUGUGAACGCCGUUCGCUAGGGACAAAGCUUUUUGUGACGGUACCUAGAGAAGAAGCACCGGCUAACUACGUG